rnacentral:tRNA from 1 species
AUUUAUAUAGUUUAAAAAAAAACUUUACAUUUUCAAUGUAAUAAUAAAAAUUUAUUUUUUAUAAAUA